rnacentral:rRNA from 1 species
UACGUAGGUGGCGAGCGUUGUCCGGAAUUAUUGGGCGUAAAGCGCGUGUAGGCGGCCUUGCAAGUCGGGUGUGAAAGCCCCUCAGCUCAACUGAGGAAGUGCGCCCGAAACUGCAGAGCUUGAGUACCGGAGAGGAUGGUGGAAUUCCCGAAGUAGAGGUGAAAUUCGUAGAUAUCGGGAGGAACACCGGUGGCGAAGGCGACCAUCUGGACGGAUACUGACGCUGAGACGCGAAAGCGUGGGUAGCAAACAGG